ACGAGCUAAUCCAAUCCAAUCCCCAAUUCCUUCCCCUGCUCGUCUCCCAACCAACGGAGCCCAACUCCGGCGCCGAUCUCCUCUGCCCCAGCCACUCGGCCUCGUCGGCGCGGCGGCCUCCUCUCCCCCAUCCACGCCGCCGACCUCCCUCUCCUUCUCUCCCAUGGCGCCGAAACCCUAGCCACGACGACCUAGCAGCAGCAGGCAGGACGAGCCCGGCCAUGGCCAUGGCCUCCUCUUCCCCUCUGCCCUGCCACGGCCGCCGCUCCAGCCCCUCCUCUCCUCUCCUCUCCUCUCCUCUCCUCUUCUCUUCUCUCCCAAGGGAGGGGAGGGGAGGGGAGGGGAGGGGAGGGAAGGGAAGCCAAGGCCCCAGAUCAAGCGGAGCGGCGCCCAGAUCCGCCCGCAGCGGCACCGACGAUCUGAUCCGCGACCCUCCUCGAGGUCGGCCAUGGAGCGCGGCGGCAGCCAUGGACGGCGACGCCCGAAACCCUAGCUAGCCCUCAACCUCCAAGGACGCGCGCCGGCUGCUCUCGGCGGGGAGCACCUCGACGCCGGCCAAAGGCCAUCACCAUCCCCAUCACCAGCAUCCCGCGUGCGUGAGUCAAGGAGGAAAGAGGAGGAGGCCAUCGCCAUGCUCAGAUCCAUAGCUCCUCUUUUCUCUUCAAUUUUGUCAAACUUGAAUGUGAUGAACAGGGUCAUGAUACUAGUGCUUGAGUCAUGAUACGCACACCCCAAACCUCAUCAUCUUCAUGCUUGCAACUUGUAGGUAAAAACACAUUUUAUUCAAACUAAUUCAGAAUGGUCGUCGGGGGAGAUCCACGGUUGAUCAAU